rnacentral:lncRNA from 1 species
UGUAACUGUGCUUUCCUUACCAAGGGUGGGUGUUUAAUCAGGUAUGAGUGGCAUCAGAGCCAAAUGAAUCAUAGAAUCACAGCAUCAUUAGGGUUGGAAGAGACCUCCAAGACCAUCUGGUCCAACCAUCACCCUACUGCCAGUGUUACCCACUAAACCAUGUCCCUAAGCACCACGUCCAACCUUUCCUUGAACACCCCCAGGGACGGUGACUCCACCACCUCCCUGGGCAACCCGUUCCAGUGCCUGACUGCUCUUUCUGAGAAGAAAUGUCUCCUCAUUUCCAACCUAAACAUCCCCUGGCACAACUUGAGGCCAUUCCCCCUAGUCCUAUCACUAUUUACGUGUGAGAAGAGGCUGACCCCUGCUACCCACAACUUCCAUUGUAAAAUGAAAGCACUGCAUGCUUUGCUUGAAGAUGGAGGAAGCCAGCAACAUAGCAGCAGAAGGGACCAAGGAAGGGUGGCGAGGCCCUCACCUUGCUCCCUGCUCUCCUGGCAGAAAGAUCUACCUGAAAAAAAGAGUGCCCUUCGAACAUUAGUUUCCCCAACCCUGAGCAGAGUCCUAUCAUAACCUUGACAUCAGUGGUAGGGAAGAGUUUCUUGUGCAGAAGAAAAGGGGAAAAGUCAAGAAACCACUGGAUUUACUUUAUAAUAGUUAUAUUUUAAAAGUCAUUCUGACUUUUCUAAAUACUACUUGCAACAUUCCCUGUGAAGCCAUAAUUCCACAUUGCUUAGAAAUUGUGUAGUAUGUGAGAGCAGAUUUGGAGUUUCUACCACAUAUCCUUUGUGUAUGGAAAUCUUGAGAUUUCAGAAAUGCUUUAAGGAAAGACAGAAUUCAGCUGGUAUUUCAGCAAAGGGGAGUUCUGAGGUGCAGGAGAAAGAGGAACCUACUUGAUUUAUAUGAUGGCUUGCUUUCCAAUUGCCUUGUUACACUACUGCUAGAGAUCUAAGGACGAGGAUGAGAUUAAUUUUUGUAUUAUU